rnacentral:rRNA from 1 species
AGAGUUUGAUCCUGGCUCAGGAUGAACGCUGGCGGCGUGCCUAAUACAUGCAAGUCGAGCGAACAGAUAAGGAGCUUGCUCCUUUGAAGUUAGCGGCGGACGGGUGAGUAACACGUGGGUAACCUACCUAUAAGACUGGGAUAACUUCGGGAAACCGGAGCUAAUACCGGAUAACAUUUAGAACCGCAUGGUUCUAAAGUGAAAGAUGGUUUUGCUAUCACUUAUAGAUGGACCCGCGCCGUAUUAGCUAGUUGGUAAGGUAACGGCUUACCAAGGCGACGAUACGUAGCCGACCUGAGAGGGUGAUCGGCCACACUGGAACUGAGACACGGUCCAGACUCCUACGGGAGGCAGCAGUAGGGAAUCUUCCGCAAUGGGCGAAAGCCUGACGGAGCAACGCCGCGUGAGUGAUGAAGGGUUUCGGCUCGUAAAACUCUGUUGUUAGGGAAGAACAAAUGUGUAAGUAACUGUGCACAUCUUGACGGUACCUAAUCAGAAAGCCACGGCUAACUACGUG